UAAUUUAUAAAUUUUAUUCAAAACAAGACAGCUUUAAUACUUUUAUUUAAAGUUCGAUUAGAAAUUUAAAUAAAUUUAAAAAUUAUAUAAAAAUUUAUUUAAUAAAUUUUAAUGUUUUAUUCAAAUUUUCUUCGUAUUUAAAUGGAUAAUACAUGUCUACAGUAAUUUAUUGCAACUAUAUACGAAAAAAAACCUUCAUUAGUUUAUUCAACCCCACAAAAUAAGUUUUUUUUGGAUCAUCCUCAUAAAAAAGAUAAAGGAAAAUAAAGAAUUGUUAACUCCUAAAAAGUAUAAGCCAAAGAGAAAUAAUAACUAACAAGUCAAAAACCAAAUAAUCAGAGCUAAACAGUAACAAAAAAGUAACAAAAAACAAGAGCAAACCCUUCAAAAUCUAAACAACCCCCCCCCCAAAAAAAAAGAGAAAACUGACAGAGAUCUCCACUAGGGAAAAUCAAAGCUAAAAAAGAGAAAACAGGAAUAAAUAAGAAGUGGGCAUUGAAAUAUAGAUCAAGAUCAAACACAGUGAAGCCUAAUCAUCAGCCUCUAAUAUGCUUGACUUUAUACCAGCCUUUCUUGCAUGAAUCUCCCACGAUCUUCACGCCCUUCUUCAGGAAAACCUUGAGCUCCUUGGCUCUCUCCUUUAAUUGCUGCUCAAACCCAGCCAUUGAAACGAAAGAGAAGAGAUGAAUGGGAACCAAAAAGUUGCAGGGAUUGGAGUUGUUUAAGCAGAGUGUGUUUGUGUAAAGUGUAAAGUAAACUCCUGGAACCGGGUACUAAACUCUGGGCUGUUUUUAAGCUGACGAGGGAGUUGAGCUAGGCCUCGUGGGAUCCAAAGCAUCUUCGAUACGUGGCGGGCAUCUAUGGGUUAUAGGUGUUUUGAAUUUUGUUAUCAACACGUUGAUUGCGGGAUAAGCA
rnacentral:lncRNA from 1 species